GAGUGUAGGCUGCUAGAAAGUGUUAGCCUAUAUGUAACUGUGUUUUUCAACCUUUUCUGUCUUCCGGACUUUGUAUCGUGCUUAGAAUGGUCUUUCCCAUUAAAUGACUAUCGUAAUUGACGGGUAAAGAAGGGGUAGGGAGAGGGGCCCAGGAAAAAGCACACAUACAAAAAAACAAAAUGUGGAAGUAACAAUGAGGUACUAUCAGGAAUGGGACGGAAACAUAAUGCAGAUGAGGAAGUACACCUGUGGAAGCUUGGGUUCUCCAGGAAACGCAGAGAUGGAAUUAGAUACACAACAGGACGUGGGGGAAGUAGCACAGUGAAAAAGAAGAACAAGAAACAGAACUGGGCAAAGAGGAGUCUUCGGAUUGUCAAGAACAGGUCUUUGACUGAACCAACUCACCCUGUGUGGGCAGCACUCUUCACUCCAAGACUCACACAGACCAUGGGCUGCCCACGAACUGACUGUUUCUGAGCCAGGUCCAAUCAGACCCCACUGGAGGAGGAGUGAGGGCCUCACGGGAUAAAAUACUAUCGCUUUCUGCUGCCUCAAGGAGGAUAAUUUCCUCGGAAGGACCUGUGGAUACUGCAGGCACUGCCAUGGACGUUUCUAACACACUUCCUUCCAGUACAUCCAGAACAAGAUACCACCAUCACUGAGUAGGAUUUUACCGAAGAACAAAUGAAUAAAUGGACAAAUAGCUAGU